rnacentral:misc_RNA from 1 species
UCCAGCUUAUCGCUGGCGGUCUCCUGAGAGUGCAUCCUUGCGGAUUAGCAACACAGGACAAGGGUUGCGCUCGUUGCGGGACUUAACCCAACAUCUCACGACACGAGCUGACGACAGCCAUGCAGCACCUCGACUUCAGUCCCUUGCGGGAGGUACCCUGUUUCCAAGGUCUUGCCAAAGCCGUUCGAGCCCAGGUAAGGUUCUUCGCGUUGCGUCGAAUUAAACCACAUGCUCCACCGCUUGUGCGGGCCCCCGUCAAUUCCUUUGAGUUUCAGCCUUGCGGCCGUACUCCCCAGGCGGGGCACUUAAUGCGUUAGCGCCGGCACUCAGAGGGUCGCUCCCCCAAGCACCUAGUGCCCAUCGUUUACGGCGUGGACUAC